rnacentral:rRNA from 1 species
GUAGGGGGCAAGCGUUAUCCGGAUUUACUGGGUGUAAAGGGUACGUAGGCGGCCUAGUAAGUUAGAAGUGAAAUAAUAUAGCUCAACUAUAUAAAGCUUUUAAAACUGUUAGGCUUGAGAGAUGAAAGGGAAAGUGGAAUUCCUAGUGUAGCGGUGAAAUGCGCAGAUAUUAGGAAGAAUACCGGUGGCGAAGGCGACUUUCUGGUCAUCAUCUGACGCUGAGGUACGAAAGCGUGGGUAGCAAACAGGAUUAGAUACCCUGGUAGUCCACGCUGUAAACGAUGAGUGUUAGGUUCUUGGAAUAAUCUGGGAGCCGCAGCUAACGCAUUAAACACUCCGCCUGGGGAGU